rnacentral:rRNA from 1 species
GUAGGUGGCAAGCGUUGUCCGGAAUUAUUGGGCGUAAAGCGCGCGCAGGCGGUUCUUUAAGUCUGAUGUGAAAGCCCACGGGCUCAACCGUGGAGGGUCAUUGGAAACUGGAGAACUUGAGUACAGAAGAGGAAAGCGGAAUUCCACGUGUAGCGGUGAAAUGCGUAGAGAUGUGGAGGAACACCAGUGGCGAAGGCGGCUUUCUGGUCUGUAACUGACGCUGAGGCGCGAAAGCGUGGGGAGCAAACAGGAUUAGAUACCCUGGUAGUCCACGCCGUAAACGAUGAGUGCUAAGUGUUACGGGGGUUUCCGCCCCUUAGUGCUGCAGCUAACGCAUUAAGCACUCCGCCUGGGGAGUACGGCCGCAAGGCUGA